rnacentral:tRNA from 1 species
UCUUUUAUUAGUCUUAAAAAUUAGAUUGCAAAUCUAAUAUUGAUGAACUAAGGCUUAAAAAA